rnacentral:lncRNA from 1 species
AUGGCCUUGGUCCUGUGGCCCGGCUGGGGGAAGGCGUCAAGGGGUUCCUGGGGCUCCUCACACAGAGCCCCCGGGCCAGGGACCCCCCCGCCUCCCAGGCUCAGAGAGGACCAGAGCAGAGGGCAGCAACUCCAGCAUGCCAAGGGUCCCCGGCCUCCCCGGGCCUCGGUGUCCAUGCUGCACACUGGGAUUCCAGGUCCCGGGAGCCUUCAAGUGACGUGCAGACUUGCACCUGUGUUGGCCGUGGGUGUGCACGUGCCAGGGUGUGUGUGUGGCCUGCCUGUGCACUGCAUGCACCUCGUUUCCUGGGGCAAAGUGGCUUCUGACCCAGAGAUGCUCCCGGCCAGAGCGGUUGACAGGGGCAGACCCUCUUCCUGGGCCGCCGCUCCAGGCAGGCCCUUGACCACCCUCCGUGACACAAUUCUACACGUGAAGAAACUGAGGCUCAGAGAGAGUGGGGCCUCACCCAAGAUCCGACAGCAGUGGAGCUGGGUUCUCGCCUGCCUGUUGGGGGAGAAACUCCUCCCGGGGCCCUCACGGCUCCGCCCCAGGGCCCUGCUGACCCGGCUGUGCACCCCACGGCGAUGGUGGAGCAGCUGUCCUGGGCUCCUGGCAGAGGUGGCUCUGUGGGCCUCUCUGGGCCUGGCGGGGCUGGGGGCGUCCCUCCUGGCACAGCCAGAGGAGGCCCCAGGCGAAGGGCCAGGGCGCCCCCCUCCACCCCUGCUCCUGCCAAUUCUGCAGGCUCUGCUGACACCUGCUGGCCACGCAUCCCAUCUCCAUAGCAACCGCAGCUGCACUUCCCAGCCCCCCCACCCCACCCCCGAGGGGGGAGAGCAGGGUGGGGUCGCCCAGGCCGACCGGACAGGGGGGUGCAGGGCUCACCAGGAGCAGCACGCCCCUUGGGGUGACAGCUUCCCGCGAUUCCUGUUACAUGCUGUGCCCCACCCCCACCCGCCCUCAUCUCUCCUCACCCCCACUCAACCCCAACCCACACCUGCGUCCCUUCUCCCCGACUCCACCGCCCCCUCAUGCCUGAUGCUCCCAGGAGUUCGGGUGUCUGCACCCAGCCCCAGGGCCCUCACCACAGGCCCCUAG